AUUGAACGCUGGCGGCAGGCUUAACACAUGCAAGUCGAGCGAGCGGCGGACGGGUGAGUAAUGUCUGGGAAACUGCCUGAUGGAGGGGGAUAACUACUGGAAACGGUAGCUAAUACCACAUACCAUCGGAUGUGCCCAGAUGGGAUUAGCUAGUAGGUGGGGUAAUGGCUCACCUAGGCGACGAUCCCUAGCUGGUCUGAGAGGAUGACCAGCCACAUGGGACAUGAGAUACGGUCCAGACUCCUACGGGAGGUAGCAGUGGUGAAUAUUGCACAAUGGGCGCAAGCCGGAUGCAGCCAUGCCGCGGGUGUGAAGAAGGCCUUCGUGUUGUAAAGCACUUUCAGCGAGGAUGAGUUACUCGCAGAAGAAGCACCGGCUAAAUCCGUGCCAGCCGCCGCGUUAAUAC
rnacentral:rRNA from 1 species